UACGUAGGGGCUGAGCGUUGUCCGGAUUCAUUGGGCGUAAAGGGUGCGUAGGCGGCGCGGUAAGUCGGGUGUGAAAUCUUGGAGCUUAACUCCGAAACUGCAUUCGAUACUGCCGUGCUUGAGGACUGGAGAGGAGACUGGAAUUUACGGUGUAGCGGUGAAAUGCGUAGAUAUCGUAAGGAAGACCAGUGGCGAAGGCGGGGUCUCUGGACAGUUCCUGACGCUGAGGCACGAAGGUCAGGGGGAGCAAACGGG
rnacentral:rRNA from 1 species